rnacentral:rRNA from 1 species
GACGAACGCUGGCGGCGUGCUUAACACAUGCAAGUCGAACGGAGUGGCGAACGGGUGAGUAACACGUGGGUGAACUGCCUUGCACUCUGGGAUAAGCUUGGGAAACUGGGUCUAAUACCGGAUAGUGCAAAACGACCUCGCGGCCUAUCAGCUUGUUGGUGGGGUAAUGGCCUACCAAGGAGUCGACGGGUAGCCGGCCUGAGAGGGUGUACGGCCACAUUGGGUCUGGGUUACGGCCCAGACUCCGACGGGAGGCAGCAGUGGGGAAUAUUGCACAAUGGGCGGAAGCCUGAUGCAGCGACGCCGCGUGGGGGAUGACGGCCUUCGGGUUGUAAUCUCCUUUCGACAGGGACGCGGUACCUGUAUAAGAAGCACCGGCUAACUACGUGCCAGCAGCCGCGGUAAUUC